rnacentral:tRNA from 1 species
GGGAAGGUGGCUCAGUGGUAGAGUGCUUGCCUUGCAAGCAUGAGGCCCUGGGUUCGAUUCCUCAGCUCCACCA